CUAAGAAUCUCCAAUUCAAACCCACAACUAAAAAAAAUCCUUAUCUUCUCAUUUUCUCUCUUGUUUUCAGUUUUUGGAUAUGGAAAGUAGCAGUGAAGUGUCGAGCAGGCUUCAAUAUAUUGAACAAUAUUUACUUGAUGAAAAUCAAUUUCCUCCUGUGGGAUUGUGGAGCUUUUUAAAUGAAAAUCAAUGGACAAAUUAUCCGAAAUCCGAGGUUUCCACCUCUCAAUCUCACUCUCUUUACUCUCAAACUUCCACCUCUGAUUCCUGUCUUACAGCAUCCAAUUUUAAUAGCCUUGACGAAGAUGAUUUCUUCAACUUCUCUACCAGUUUCCCAGGUUUCGAGUCUAACCAUAGUGAUGUUUUCGAAUUUGACUCCAAACCUCAAUUUAUCCAUCUCACCACGCCUAAGCCUCUCACUUCCGACGCCACUGCUUGUGAAUUCCAAGUGAAAUCUCGAUCUUCUUCGAAUUCGACUUCCAAUUCUCAGAGUCGAAAACCUUCGCUGAAAAUCUCGUUGCCGCAUAAAGUGGAGUGGAUUCAGUUCGGCAAACCGGAUUUAACCGAGGUAAAGCCGAAGAAUUCAAAUACCGAAGAGAGAAGUAAGCAUUACAGAGGAGUCCGACAAAGGCCGUGGGGAAAGUUCGCAGCCGAGAUCCGAGAUCCUAACCGAAAAGGUUCACGGGUCUGGUUGGGAACUUUUGACACCGCCAUAGAAGCCGCAAAGGCUUACGACCGAGCCGCCUUUAAGUUACGUGGCUCAAAAGCGAUUCUUAACUUCCCUCUCGAAGCUGGGAAGUUGGAUGUAAUCGCCGCUGACGGAGAGAGGAAACGGAGCAGAGACGACGGCGCUGGGGAUGAGAGAGAAGUUAAAGCCGUGAAGAGAGUAAAUGAUGAUGUGACUAAAGCGAGAGAUAACGGCGAUGCGCCUUUAACGCCGUCAAAUUGGACA
rnacentral:lncRNA from 1 species